GCAACAGAGGAACUUAAUAAGGAUGGUCCAAGAUCACUAGCACUAGGGAGAACACGGCUGCCUGUGAGGACACAAUUGCUUGUGACAUGAAUCAAAGGCACCUUCCUAUUGAAGAACUUCCUUCACUGAUGGCUCUGGAAAAUGACCUCCAAUCAUCUCCAGACAAGAGGAAAAAACUGGUGCUUGAACUGGGGCUUAUUGGUGGUGCUGACAUCAAAGACACUGUCUGGCGCAUUUUGAAACAGACGAUUAAAAAUGAUCUAGCUAAAACUGUCAACUGGGAGUGAAUGGGAAAACAGGUUUUCAAAGCCUGCAGCUGAAGAAUGUUGUAACUGAAGCUCUGAGAAGAAACCCAGUAUGUUCCCAGGCCACUGAGAUGGAGGUAGAACGAGUCAUUAGAAGAUGGUUUCAUCUGGCUUGUGAUCGGGAGGGCAGAAGGAAGAGAAGAAAAGUGGAAAAUGCAUCAGGACAAAACAAAAUGUAAUGGACACACCGCCACACUGGAGAGUGUGUCAAAACGUCACACUGGAGACAGCGGUACUUGACUUGCUCUUAGUUAGCUUUUUUUCUAGCUAGCUAAUUACUCUAGGUGCUCUCCCCUCUCUGUCUAUUCCAGAGCAUUGAUGUAACUCUCCCACUCUACUGCUUUGUGGGAGAGGAAGAUAUGUUUGGAGAUAAGUAACAAUGUGGAAGAAAGCUUGCAAGGUGUUUACUGGUUUAAUUCUAAGCAGGAUAAGUUAUUGCAUUCUUGCACUAUCCACUGUGCCUUUUCUACAGUUACACAUUGUAUGUAACAACUUGCCCAAAAACAGAGUUACAACCAUA